UACGAAGGGGGCUAGCGUUGUUCGGAUUUACUGGGCGUAAAGGGCGCGUAGGCGGCUUGACAAGUCACUUGUGAAAUCUCCGGGCUUAACUCGGAACGGCCAAGUGAAACUGUCAUGCUAGAGUGCAGAAGGGGCAAUCGGAAUUCUUGGUGUAGCGGUGAAAUGCGUAGAUAUCAAGAGGAACACCUGAGGUGAAGACGGGUUGCUGGGCUGACACUGACGCUGAUGCGCGAAAGCCAGGGGAGCAAACGGG
rnacentral:rRNA from 1 species